GACACAUGCUCCCUUGCCUCUUUUGGGUCCGGAGGGCACUGGGAGAGCAGAGACUGCAUCUUCUGGAGCAGGAAGACUGCGGUGGUUGUAUUUACUCUUCUCUGUGCUUAUUGCCACGGUGGCCACCACCAAAGAUGAGGUCUGCCAUCUGCUUCCUUUGCCGUCAGGGCACUGACCCCAACCCUACACACUUGUCUUUCUCGUCGCCUCUGCCUGCCCAGAGACCAGACGGAGGGAGUUGCUGUAAGCUUGCUCAGGAUCAGCGCUGCAACGGACACUGAAUGAAGAGGCUCUGAGGGAAAAAAAGAAAAGAAGAAAGAAAAGAUCCCUUGAGAAGUUACUGAAAACGGAGCACCAUCCAUCCGAAUGCUGCGAGCUUGGACUGUUCUGGAAGCAAGCUUGCUGGAGGGCAUCUGAGUGGGAUAGACUGUUAGGGAUGGGGUGGUAACUGCCCCCCUUUUUGCUGAAGUCAUAACCCAGAGCCUCCAUGUGGGGACUGUUCGGAGAGAGGGAGGGUACAUUCAUUGCUUUCCUGUUGCUACGAUGAAACACCACUACUGUGUGAGUCAGGGUUCUCUAGAGUAGCAGAACUUAGAGAGUUUAUCUUUCUCUGUACACGGAAAGGGGUUUAUUGGGAUGUUUGACAGGCUGUGCAGUCCAGCAAAUCCAACAGUGGCUUGGUGCUAACAGAAAGGCCAAGAAUCUGAUAGUUGCUGGGCCCACAGGGCUGCAAGUCUCAGCUGGUCAUCAGUGGACGCUGGAAUCCUCUGAAGGAGUAGGUUCUAGUGCCAGCGAAGGAAUGGGCCUGCCAGCAAGGCAAGGGCAAGCAGGCAAAACAAAAAGGCUUUGUCCCUCCGUGUCCUUGCAUAGGCUUCCUGCAGUAGGUGUGGCCAAGAUUAGAGGUGUCCUGUCCAGUCCCAUGCCC